AACGAACGCUGGCGGCAUGCCUAACACAUGCAAGUCGAACGAAGCCUUCGGGCUUAGUGGCGCACGGGUGCGUAACGCGUGGGAAUCUGCCCUUGGGUUCGGAAUAACAGUUAGAAAUGACUGCUAAUACCGAAUGAUGUCUUCGGACCAAAGAUUUAUCGCCCAAGGAUGAGCCCGCGUCGGAUUAGCUAGUUGGUGAGGUAAAGGCUCACCAAGGCGACGAUCCGUAGCUGGUCUGAGAGGAUGAUCAGCCACACUGGGACUGAGACACGGCCCAGACUCCUACGGGAGGCAGCAGUGGGGAAUAUUGGACAAUGGGCGAAAGCCUGAUCCAGCAAUGCCGCGUGAGUGAUGAAGGCCUUAGGGUUGUAAAGC
rnacentral:rRNA from 1 species